AACGAACGCUGGCGGCAGGCCUAACACAUGCAAGUCGAACGAACCCUUCGGGGUGAGUGGCGCACGGGUGCGUAACGCGUGGGAAUGUACACCUAGGUAAGGAAUAACUGCUGGAAACGGUAGCUAAUACCUUAUAAUGACUCCGGUCCAAAGAUUUAUCGCCUAGGGAUCAGCCCGCGUCAGAUUAGAUAGUUGGUGGGGUAAUGGCCUACCAAGUCGACGAUCUGUAGCUGGUCUGAGAGGAUGAUCAGCCACACUGGUACUGAGACACGGACCAGACUCCUACGGGAGGCAGCAGUGAGGAAUAUUGCGCAAUGGGCGAAAGCCUGACGCAGCCAUGCCGCGUGAGUGAAGAAGGCUCUAGGGUUGUAAAGCUCUUUCAGAUGCGAAGAUAAUGACGGUAACAUCAGAAGAAGCCCC
rnacentral:rRNA from 1 species